rnacentral:rRNA from 1 species
UAGGGAAUCUUCGGCAAUGGGGGGAACCCUGACCGAGCAACGCCGCGUGAGUGAAGAAGGUUUUCGGAUCGUAAAGCUCUGUUGUUAAGGAAGAACGAGUGUGAGAAUGGAAAGUUCAUACUGUGACGGUACUUAACCAGAAAGGGACGGCUAACUACGUGCCAGCAGCCGCGGUAAUACGUAGGUCCCGAGCGUUGUCCGGAUUUAUUGGGCGUAAAGCGAGCGCAGGCGGUUAGAUAAGUCUGAAGUUAAAGGCAGUGGCUCAACCAUUGUAGGCUUUGGAAACUGUUUAACUUGAGUGCAGAAGGGGGGAGUGGAAUUCCAUGUGUGGCGGUGAAAUGCGUAGAUAUAUGGAGGAACACCGGUGGCGAAAGCGGCUCUCUGGUCUGUAACUGACGCUGAGGCUCGAAAGCGUGGGGAGCGAACAGG